CUUAAAUCUAGCACAAUCCUACACCUUUCAGAAAAUAAAAGAUACUACUUAGGAGGAAUUCUUGAAAUGCUUUUAAAGUAAGAACGUCUUUGCAUAUAGACUUAGAGACUGAGAAAGUGUGUCUGCACACGCACACACAUGGUUCUCAUGAAGACUUGUGUGCCUGGCCAAGGGAGCAGGUGUGGUCUGAAGUGCAACCUGCGUGCCACAUUUCCGUGUGGGGCUGCAUUUGUCUGGAGGAAAGGUGAGUAAUUCUAGCAGGAAUGUCCUAAGAGCCCUUGAGGCCAGUGGUGGUUUCAUGGGAAUAACACACACACACACACACACACACACACACACACACACACACACACAGAGUUUUCUGCCUAAAUUACAGGACAGUGUUCCUUAGAGGUAGUGUCAAGGCUUUACUUCAAGAAGUAAAACUUCUCUCCUUGGAAAGAGCUGUUCAUUUGGCCAUGAGAUUAGCUUUCUAGGAGAGAAGUUGUGGGUGUGGAGUAGAGUUGUGACCUUCAAUCCUUCACAUUUAUACAUCAAUUUGCAGUACUUUCAGAUAUAUUAUUACACUUAAUCCUCACAAUCCUAAGGUACAGAUAUUGCUAACUCCAUUUCACAGUUGAAAAAAUAGACUUAGAAUAAUUGACGUGCCCAAGUAGAGAGGGUGCUAAGUGGGGACUUUGGAGUCCAAAUACCAUGUCGUUUCCAUUUCAUGGGUCUGUAGAAAAGGUUUAGAUUUAUAUAUAUUUUCUCUAAAUAUUGUCUUCCCUCUUACGCAGAAGUUGAGUACAUAAAGGUAUCAAUUGGGUGAUUUAUGUAAUUCUAUUGCUACUACAACUUUUAGGGGGAUUCCAAUCUUCUUAUUUUUCACUUAAGCUAUUGUCUGCAACAUCACUAACAUCAAGUACAACAAAUAAGACAUCUAAGGAGGUGUGCUCUUAAGAUUUUUGAGAUGAAAUACGGGAUCAUAAAUGUGACUUUGCUUUUAAUCAUUUAAAGUCUUGGAUUUGUGUGAUGUGUCUCAUAUGAUGAGAGCCAUCUUCUAAAGACUCAGGACCUCAUUGCUCAACAGAACCUCCAUAAAUCUGCCACCCCAGACUGAGAGCCAAGCUUUCUUGGAGGAUUCUUGGGAAGAGAUCUUAGCUCUGGCAUUCACCAGCUGUGUGACUUUGGGCAGGACAUGCUCCUUUCUGGGCCUUAGUUUCCUGAUGAAUAAAAUGAAGGCUUUGAUAGAUUAUUCCUGAGUUCCUUGCAGCACUGACAUUUUAUAACUUUCCCUUGUUAGCCAUCCAGCAUCUGUUAUUCUGAUUCCUUUCUUUCUUUUGUUCUCUUUCUUUUGGCCACCCCUGAGGCAUGUGGAAGUUCCUGGGCCAGGGAUCAAAACUAUGCCACAACAGUAACCUGAGCCACAGCAGUGACAACACCAGUUCUUAAUUGCUAGGCCACCAGGGAACUCUGUGUUAUUCUGAUUUUGAAGAAUCUUUUUCCCGUCCAAUUCUUCCUCCUUUAAUUAUAUUUCCUCUAUUUGCAUUCUGUAUGGGGUCAUAGUGAGUUUUAUAGCAGCUCCCUCUUUGCCUAGAAAAUCUCUGCUCCUAAUUAUCAUAAAAGAUUGAGAAAGUCAAAAUCGACCCCACUUUGCCUGGCCUGUAACGCCUUUGCAAUCUCGCUUCAUUCUGUCCACAAGGAAUUUAUUUUCCAUUCAUCUUCUGCACGAGCUUUCUGUGGCAGCUACCCAUAUUCUACCCACCUUUCCUUCUUUAUGGUUCAGUUCCCUAAUAUUUUACACCCUGUAGCUCUUCACUUACCUUUCAAGUUCACUCCAACAUUGCUUCUUAUCUGAAGCACAAGUGUGGCCCUACUGCUUUCCAUUUAGUGGAUUUUCUGGUUACUUUCUUUAUCUUUCCAAGUAAAUUACAAGCUACUUGACUCAGAUAGAAUGUGAUUCUUUUUUUGGUGUCCUCACAGUUAGUCUGGGUCUAUUGAUUGGUUGGCAUUAACCUAUUUGGUUAGAAGAGCCCACCUUCUAAUUAGGACCAGAAUUAGGAAUUAACAUUUUGCUGCAGUGUCAAAGCACCCUGACAAUUUCUCCUGGCCUUGUCACACAUGGUUCUCUCAGACUUCACCAGCAAAAAGGAUUUUUUUUAUUUCAUUCAGCUGGGCAGGAAAUCCCAGUGACUAUAAACCAUGAGGGGUCACUGUUGGGAAGAGAAUGGUUGUACAGGCUAAGCUAUGCUACACCAAAGACCCUCUCUGCAAAACACAAAUGCUUACAGCUGCAACAUUAGUUCAUUUUCUCUGAAGCUCUCUCUCAUGAAGAAGAAUGUUUUAUACCUUAUGCCUCUUUCUUCAUUUAACCAAGUAGAUGAUGCUUUUUUGACAAUUAUGCAUUUUUAAUUCUUUUUGCUUACAAAUAUCCUUUGAACUAGUAAAUUGAUUUUGAUGAGACUUGUUGUGAUAUUACAGUGCCUCAAGAUGAACCUUGAAUUCCAUUGUGUCUCAGGAAACACUGAGAAACAAGAUGGCUUCCAUUAAACUGUGUUAAAAGUGGCACAUCUGCCAUUAAUUUAAAUUUGUACAACUGGAAGUUUGGAGUUGCUGUUGUAUGGGUGUGUUCAUAGACCAGAGUUCAUCUAGGGUACUAUCAGAAAAUUCAUGGUCUUAGAAGUGUCAUCUAAAAUGUGAAAUAAUUCUUGAGCAGAUUUACAAAACACUAAUUGGAAAGCAUGGCAAAUAGGGAAGUUAAAUUUGUGAGCAUUUUGAAACUAUCGUGGGUGAUAUAAGCAUAUUUUUUAACACUAGUGUUUAAUAAAAGCCAUUUCUGUGUCUGGGCCAAGGGCUUUGGCAUAUGUUCAGUGUAAGUCAAAGGAGAUAAUAUGGAGCCAAGGAAUACCUAAGCUGUGUAUCCCUAGGGAGGUUGGAAAUGGUAGGAGACAUUCCUCAAAACAUACUGGGUGGACUGUACCAGUGUAACUGCCAUCAGUCAUUCACUGCCAGCCCAAUUGCCAGCCCAAUCCACCAGACCUUUCCUGGGAGAGGGAGGUGGAGAUACAAGAGGCCAAGGCCAAUCCCAUGAAGUCCUUGCUUCAUUUGCUUAUUUCUAUGUUUAACUGCAAGUUAUUCUAUUUGCUUCAUUACUGAUAGAAGCCACAUUAAAAAACAAAAAACAAAAAAACCCAUGGUAGGUGGGAGGGAGAGUUUAAAGGAUAAGCAGGGAUAGGAAGGUUACAUUAUAGCAUUUCACCCCCUCCCCACCCCUGAGUCACCUGCCUUAGGAUUUCCAAAUCAUUCCAUCCUUGGUGGCCACAUGCGGUCAGAAGAUGGGUGGGAUGCUGUAAGCUUCCUAAAUUAGUCCUACCAGAAAUCACACAGAAUUAUGAAGAAAGCUUUCCUUUAACCCUAAGUACUAGGGUCAGAACAAAAGGCAGAGGUUUCUCAUUUCAAGGCUGGGCUGGUUCAGGGGGGAAGCAAAAUGUGGGGAAAAGACUUUCAGCUUCAGGAGGAGGAGAAGUGACAUUAACUGUCCUGCACAGACUCCUAGCAUUUUUAAAAUAUGUUUUAAAACAGAUUACUUUUACCUUCUAAUGGGAUCAUUGAAAACAUCUGGUAUGCUAGGUCUUGGUUCAUUGCUGUCCAUUUGAAAAACAAAAAAAUUUGGCAUUUAGAUGAAUAAAUCACAUGGUUUUCCCCAAAACACCUCAUGAGUGGCAGCCCUUGCACCAGAAACUGCUUCUUUAACACUCACACUGCUCCGAGAUAGAGAGCAUGACCUCGUGGCAUGUGCUGUGGCUCUGGAGGUUUCUGGAAAAGCAUAGGUGGGAAUCAGAUAGAAUCUGAGACCAGAUUCUUUUCCUGUGACAGAAUUCACAUAUUUGGGCAAGGUGUUCACUAUCUCCCCAUCUGUUAAUUGGUAGUGGUGACAGGGUGGGAACAAUUUUGUUCACUCUGUGACCCCUGGGAAGGUGUAGGGAUCUGUGGGCACCCAUUUCUGGAAUAGGCACUCGAGUGAUUUCUUCCAUUGGAUACUGAUAAUAGCACUUCGGAGUAAAUAUUUUCUCUAUUUUAUUUAUAAGGGACUGGAACUCAAAGCUGUUAAGUAACUUGUUCAAGGUAUGAGGUUUAGUAGUGGCAGAAGCUGGAAUUCCAACCUGCGUCUCGUGCUGUUUUUAAUGUACACUGCCUCAUCAGAUGGGUGAAUGGCUGUGGUAGUCCCUUGGAUGUUGGCAAAGUUCUCCUAUGUAACAGGAGCUGGUUGGUGUUUUGACAUAAGUAUCUGAAGUCUGGAGCAGGCUGGGAGGGCCUGAGAUGAGAAAGAGAAGACCCAGAACUCACUGAUAAUUAUGGCAAAGCUGGACAUGGCCCCUGAACUCCUCAGCCAUCUGUUCCAUCUAUUUUGCAUAUUCUAGACUUAUUCACUCAUUUACUUAUUAAAUAAAUAUUUAUUGAGUCUCACCAAUGAUGAGGCACUAUGCUAAAGCUGGGGUUGCCAGGGGAGAGAGAGGAGAAGCAGGCUCUCACAGUAGAUGUGACAGGGGCUCCCAGAGAAGAAAACAGGAGAACUGGAGGGCCUUGGUAUCUAGGAGAUGCAUGGGGUGCCAGGCGGGGGAAGAGGGAGAGCUGCAAGAACAGAGGCACAGUGUUGGAGGAGGGGCCCUGGAGCAGACAAAAUAUCUAGACCCAGGCAUCUCCCACUGGAUCUCAGGAACCAGCCCAGGCACUGCCAGCACCUUGUCAAUAGGUGAGACAGAAGACAGACAUGGAUGUGGAAGCCUAGGCUCACUCUGCCUAUUCUUGAAGCACCAGCUAAGAAAACAGCCCUUCUUGAUGACUCUGGGCAGGGAGUGCCUUUGCCAUCCUGAAGAAGCAGCUGGAAAGUCAGUUGGGUGGGCACUUUCCAAUAUAGGAACUACUGGGGACACAGCCAAUGCCUUCAGGGAGAACCACUGGAAGUCGUUUACCUCCCUUGGCCUAUGAGCUGUGCUGCCUUCACCUGGGUCAAGCCCUGGCAGCACCUCUGUGAGACCCUGGCUGCUGUCCAUCCCACACAUCUCUCCCUGGUCUCUCCCCUAGUACAGGGCUAAGACGGAGGUUCUGCUAUGUAUUGGGGGUAAGUCCAGUUGCAGUCAGGGACUGCUGAACCUGGAGCCUGCAAGCAGGUGAGCCUUUAGUGCUCCUGGCUUUGCUCUUCCCCAGUGGCCUUGCUUUGGCUUCUAUACUAGAUUUAGACUCUUUGAGGCCAGGGGGUUGUAUUUCCUACUCCUCUUGCACUUUCCACAGUGACCGACACUGAUGUGGCCCUUGCAGGUAUUUAUUGCUAGUUGAUGCUAUGUUUAUCAUUGCUGUUGUAGAGAGUUGUAGGGGAAGACACUUUGAGAUUUAAACUUCACUUGGAGUCACAGACCAUGGAAAGCAAGGAUGGGCAGGGGUUUGAAGCCUGCAUCUCAUACAAAUGGGGAGGCUGAGGCCAGACAAGGCAAGGGGAGUCAUUUAAGGAUUUAGCAGAGUUAGGUGCAUACCUGUGUGUUUUCUCCUCUGGGACUUUGUUCUUGCCACCAAGGCAUCAUCCACCCUCUACAUGAGCUAAACUCAAGAAGAAGAGUGAAAAGCCAAAGUUUCAUGUCCA
rnacentral:lncRNA from 1 species